rnacentral:rRNA from 1 species
GAUGAACGCUGGCGGCGUGCCUAAUACAUGCAAGUCGAGCGAACAGACGAGGAGCUUGCUCCUCUGACGUUAGCGGCGGACGGGUGAGUAACACGUGGAUAACCUACCUAUAAGACUGGGAUAACUUCGGGAAACCGGAGCUAAUACCGGAUAAUAUAUUGAACCGCAUGGUUCAAUAGUGAAAGACGGUUUUGCUGUCACUUAUAGAUGGAUCCGCGCCGCAUUAGCUAGUUGGUAAGGUAACGGCUUACCAAGGCAACGAUGCGUAGCCGACCUGAGAGGGUGAUCGGCCACACUAGAACUGAGACACGGUCCAGACUCCUACGGGAGGCAGCAGUAGGGAAUCUUCCGCAAUGGGCGAAAGCCUGACGGAGCAACGCCGCGUGAGUGAUGAAGGUCUUCGGAUCGUAAAACUCUGUUAUUAGGGAAGAACAUAUGUGUAAGUAACUAUGCACGUCUUGACGGUACCUAAUCAGAAAGCCACGGCUAACUACGUG